rnacentral:rRNA from 1 species
UAUGGAAUAUUGCACAAUGGGCGCAAGCCUGAUGCAGCAACGCCGCGUGCGCGAUGAAGGCCUUCGGGUCGUAAAGCGCUUUUCUGGAGGAAGAGCAAGGACGGUACUUCAGGAAGAAGGAUCGGCUAACUACGUGCCAGCAGCCGCGGUAACACGUAGGAUCCGAGCGUUAUCCGAAUUUACUGGGCGUAAAGCGCGUGCAGGCGGUUUGGUAAGUUGGACGUGAAAUCUCCCGGCUCAACUGGGAGGGGUCGUUCAAGACUGCCAGACUAGAGGGCAGUAGAGGGAGGUGGAAUUCCCGGUGUAGUGGUGAAAUGCGUAGAUAUCGGGAGGAGCACCAGUGGCGAAAGCGGCCUCCUGGGCUGCACCUGACGCUCAGACGCGAAAGCUAGGGGAGCGAACGGG